rnacentral:rRNA from 1 species
AUUGAACGCUGGCGGCAUGCCUUACACAUGCAAGUCGAACGGUAACAGGUCUUCGGAUGCUGACGAGUGGCGAACGGGUGAGUAAUACAUCGGAACGUGCCUAGUAGUGGGGGAUAACUACUCGAAAGAGUGGCUAAUACCGCAUGAGAUCUACGGAUGAAAGCAGGGGAUCGCAAGACCUUGUGCUACUAGAGCGGCCGAUGGCAGAUUAGGUAGUUGGUGGAUAAGAGCUUACCAAGCCGACGAUCUGUAGCUGGUCUGAGAGGACGAUCAGCCACACUGGGACUGAGACACGGCCCAGACUCCUACGGGAGGCAGCAGUGGGGAAUUUUGGACAAUGGGCGAAAGCCUGAUCCAGCAAUGCCGCGUGCAGGAUGAAGGCCUUCGGGUUGUAAACUGCUUUUGUACGGAACGAAAAGCCCCGGGUUAAUACCCUGGGGUCAUGACGGUACCGUAAGAGUAAGCACCGGCUAACUACGUGCCAGCCGCCGCAGUAA